UGCCUAAUUCUGAGUUUAUAAAUGAGAAUGCAUUGAUUUUAACACAAAUCUAUCCCACUCCAAAGUCCCAUGUUCUUUUUACAACACUGGACAUAGCAACGAAAUUUAUUGAGUUGCUUACUAGAAAUAUGUCAUUGUCUUUAGGUAAACAUUAGUUUUGGGCAAUGGCGAAGGACUGGGAAUUUGAGUAUUUGAAUUUUUAAGGAAGACAAAAAUGCUGGAUGAUUGGUGCUAUCAGAUGAUGAGAGAGCCUAGUUAAAAGUCAGCAGGAUUUUAGGUUAUAUUUCACCUAUUAAGUCUUAAACAACAAAGUAGGAAAAGAGCAAUAUGAGCAUCAAAUCACUGAAUAAGGAGGGAUUUAGUGACGACAGUAUAUACCACUCCAACUUACUAUUUUUUUCCACUUUGACUUAAAAAGUCAAAAUGGAUGAAUUUUUGUUGCAUAAUGGCUGGAGUAGACAGGAGAGGGAAGAGAACUGUAAGAGAGGUAGUAUAGAAAAGAGUACUAACAAGGGUUUGAAAAGCUCUGGGCUUCUGUUUCCUGUCAGUAAAAGGAGGGGAUUGCAUAGGCCUUAUCUCUGAUUCCCUGCAGCUCUUGGAAAAGCUAGUGUGAAAUUCUGUGUUUUAAAAA